rnacentral:tRNA from 1 species
GGGCCCAUAGCUUAGUCUGGUGGAGUGCCCGACUGAUAAUCGGGUGGUCCCGAGUUCAAAAUAAAACGAGGGAAGCUUCGUUUGACGAAAAUCUCGGUGGGCCCA